rnacentral:rRNA from 1 species
UACGUAGGGGGCAAGCGUUGUCCGGAUUUAUUGGGCGUAAAGAGCGUGUAGGCGGCUUGGUAGGUCCGCUGUGAAAACUCGAGGCUCAACCUCGAGAUGUCGGCGGAAACCACUUGGCUAGAGUCCGGAAGAGGAGAGUGGAAUUCCUGGUGUAGCGGUGAAAUGCGCAGAUAUCAGGAAGAACACCUAUGGCGAAGGCAGCUCGCUGGGACGUUACUGACACUAAGGCGCGAAAGCGUGGGGAGCGAACAGG